UUUCGCAUUGAAGUUCCCAAUACUUUCUAGUCUUACGUAAAAGUACGCAGCUCAGUACAAUGCAUGUAUGGUAUACGUAAGGCUGCUUUGUUCUUUAAACCGAAUCAACAAGAAGCAGCGACUUCCGUUUUUGCAAACCUUACCCUACUUCGUAACCAUUCCUUGAUCAAACGUGUAUAAAAUGAAUCUGUGGUUGUUGUAUUCUUUCACAGGUAGACAUCCGUGACGGUGUAUACGUUGAAAAGGGCCUACUGAAGAGGCUGCGCCUGGAUGCUAACAACUCAGGCUUUCACUUCGCGGAGGGCCUCCUUAAAGCUCCUUUUUCAAUAGAAGACGUUGAAGGGAGGUCCUUCUUUGGGCGGCUGUCAAAUGCCUUCCACAGAAGGAUCCGUUGGAUUCCAAGAAGGUCAACACCAUAGUAGACUACACAACGCAACAUUUCAGCCUACUUCCAGGGCAGCUGGAGAACUCGUCCUCCUUACUAGCCCGGGGAUAUUAAAUGGAUGUGUUCAAGCACAAA